UGGCUGAUGAUGAAUAAUCUCUACGAUCUUAGCGGAUUUCAGUGAGACUUUCUGGUCUAUGAUCACAAAAUUGCUGUUACACACACUGAAGCUC